rnacentral:rRNA from 1 species
CCUACGGGAGGCAGCAGUGGGGAAUCUUGCGCAAUGGGCGAAAGCCUGACGCAGCAACGCCGCGUGGGGGAUGAAGCUUCUCGGAGUGUAAACCCCUUUCGACCCGGACGAAUGCCCGCAAGGGCUUGACGGUACGGGUAUAAGAAGCCCCGGCUAACUACGUGCCAGCAGCCGCGGUAAAACGUAGGGGGCCAGCGUUGCUCGGAAUUACUGGGUGUAAAGGGUUCGUAGGCGGUGUGGCAAGUCGGGAGUGAAAUCUCUAGGCUCAACCUAGAGACUGCUUCCGAAACUGCUGUGCUCGAGUGUGGGAGAGGCGCGUGGAAUUGCAGGUGUAGCGGUGAAAUGCGUAGAUAUCUGCAGGAACACCCGUGGCGAAAGCGGCGCGCUGGACCAUUACUGACGCUGAGGAACGAAAGCUAGGGGAGCAAACAGGAUUAGAUACCCUGGUAGUCCUAGCCCUAAACGAUCAGGACUUGGGGUGCCACCCGUUCGGGUGUCGUCCCGGAGCUAACGCGUUAAGUCCUGCACCUGGGGAGUACGGUCGCAAGACUGAAACUCAAAGGAAUUGACGG